AUGUUUUGCUUUAGGACAAUUAAUGCUGAUGCACUGAGGUUCCUAUAUGCUGGGGAGCUGGAAAAUGGAAUGAAGAAUCUUAGAAGAUUCCAUGCCCCCAGUAAGGACCCCAAUCUUUUUGAUGCUGAAAACCCUGAAUCUUGCUUUCCGAGUGCCUGUCCUGCCGGCGUCGGGUCUGCGCGGCUCCCUGUGCUCAGAUGGUUCGUGGGCAUCCGCUCCUUUCCCCCAUCGCCACAGUCCACACUCCGCGUUCUGGGGAAGAGUCUGGGUCGGAAGGGAGCCAUCGCCGCUGCGGUAUGCGGGGCCCUUUUCAUCGGGUACUGCAUCUACUGCGACCGCAAAAGACAAAGUGACCCCAACUUAAAGAACAGGCUUCCAGAGGAAAGAAAGAAACAGAAGCUGGCCGAGGAGAGAGUUGAGCUUUCCAAGUUUGCUGACCUUAAAGAUGCUGAAGCUGCUCAGAAAUUCUUCCUUGAAGAGAUACAGCUUUGGUGAAGAGAUCCUAGCUCAAGGUGUAGACCACCUGACAAAUCCAAGUUCUGUGUGUGGACAGCCACAGCAGUUAUUGCAAGUGCUACAACAAACUCUUCCACCACCAGUGAUUCAGAUACUUCUGACAAAGCCCCUACCAGUUAAUUAGACACUUGUAAGUGCUCAGCGCUUGGCUGAAGAUGAUGUGGAAUGAGAAACAAAUGUCAUAAUAAUAAAAUCUCAGUUAAAAUACUUAAAAAAUUCUUAACUUGGUAGUUGAGCAUAAGGGCAAAAUGCUUGUUAUGAACCAUUCUACACUGAAAUCUACCCAAGUUAAUGUUUACUUUGUGUAAAUCCAUUUGGUUAAUUUUUUCCAGUGAAAAGCAUAUUUUGAUAGAGAUCUUUUCACUUUAUAAGUACACUAUGAGUUACUGAAAUAUCACAGAUGUUCAUUUCUAAAACAUGCGAUUAUAAUGUACAUAUGGCCUUGCUUAUGUUAAAAACACCCAGUGGUCUGUGUUGAAAGACAAUAUGAGACGUGGUCUCCUCCCUUAAUCUCAAAAAAAAAUUUCUAGAAAUUAAAGCUUCUGCAUGGGAAUCAGACUCUUUACUCAUCAUAAGGAAAUCCUUGAAUUAUACUGACUCUGUUGCAAUAAUCAAAAAUUUAAAGGCCAUACUAACUGGAAGCAGACCCAGAAAACAGAAACAGGAAAACAAUGGCUUAAUUUAGUACAUUCAAUAUUCUUGAUAUCCUUGUCAUUAACCAUAAUUUAAUUGGAGUAAUAUUUUUGCUCCUUAAUUUUUCAACAUUGUAUAAAGAAUUUUCCAUCCAAAGUAAUGUGAGGCGGAGCUACCUGAAUUUCAGUGGCAAUAAGACAAAAAUAUUUUGACCCGCAGCUUUCGCAGGACCACUCUGAAGGAAAGUUAACUCUGUGAAGUUUAAUUUCUAUCUUCCUUGGCCUACAUUUUUUCAAAGGUAGCGAUUUUUGGUGACCUGAAACCCAAGCUGCGCCUGUCCUUUUCAAUGACUAAGUGGUUACAAACCAAAAAAGAUUGAACACUGACUGAUGAGGGAGAGCUGGCAACUCUACUUCCUGUGUUACUUCUCAAAGUGGGGUCUGGGAACACACUGGGGUACUUGGAUCCACAGGAUAUGCACUGGCCUCAGAAAGGCAAUACCAUCCAGUGUGGUGAGGGCGCAGACACCAGUGUUCUCGCUACUGCUGCUGAGACUGUGAAAUGGUACAACUUUCUGUGGGAAAAGUAAUAUUCAUUACUUCUAAUUAUUUAUACCCGAGCAAUUGUGCGCACACAUAAGUGCAUAUUUGCUGCAAAUCUCAGCUAAAGUCAAUAUUAGCUAAAGGUCUUUAAUUAGGCUUAGGGUUGUUAUCCACAUUUCAGAUAGUAUAAAUACUACCAUUCAUUAAUAAUGUUAAGGCAAUGUUGCUAAAAAUUGUUUUUACACCUUAGGUUAGGCAUGUGCAGGAAUUCAAUGGCUACAAGUUACAUGGCAUUAGUCUGGCUUUAGCUAUAUGAUGAGGAAAAUCAGGAAUUCCAUUCUAAGAUAUGUCGUGUUUGGUAAGGACAUUCUAAGCAAAUUAGGAAGGCAGGUGCAUGGAAGAAAAAAUGAUAUUCAUACCUCCUCCUCCAGAAUAUCACAAGCCAAAUAGAUGUGGGACAUGACUACUUGAUGGGACUCUGAUUUUAACUUCUUGGAUUGUAAACUCCAAAGUUUCAUACAGGAGUUGCCAAAUCCAGCAGCAAGCGGCUUGCUAUUGGGGGAGAUUUCUGCAGUGUUCAACAGCUGCUAGGUGUUAUAGAUGGCAUAGAAGCAGGUGGUGGUGAGGGAGGGAGGCCCAUCCUUGACUUGCUUAAUGCUCUCCUGUAAGACCUCCAGGGCAGCCUCCUUCUGCAGAAUAGGGCUGGGCGUGUCAUGGGCCUCCAAAUCAUUGUUCUCACUUCGGGAGGAGAUGCCACUUGCAUACAGCUGGUAGUCUGUUGUCUUGGCAGGCUGCACGUCCAGAUGAAUAUGUAAGGUGAGGACUUUGCACAGGGCAGUAUUGUUGUCACUUUGGAGGUAGCGGAUAAGGUAGUUGUAGCUGUCGUCUUGGAGACGGACCACGUACUUUUUAUCUAGGAAUGCUCGAAGCUUGAAGUUAGAUAGGAUGUCCUGGAUAUGUAGCUGCUCAAUGACCUCCUUCUGGCUAGCGUUCUGCAGAAACAUUCCAUGGAAGCGGCUGUAAAAACUUUCCACUGUGCUCUUUGGACCGUUCUGGACCAGGCUGAGAUGGAGGUAGACAAAGAGAGGAUAGAGGAGAGGCUUCACUUCGUGGCUAUGCUGUGAAUCAGAAUCGAUGAGAAAAAAUUCCGCUGUCGUCCAAACUGUACUUUAUAUUGCUGGGAUUCUGCCUGGCAAGGGGCUGCAGACACUAUGUUGGCACAACGAGAUUCUGAUUGUACUGUGAGAUUGGCCACCAUCUCUUCAGCAGUCUGUGGCAGCCGUGGUCCUUGCUUCAGGGGACCGUCUGAGUCCAUGUACUGCCAGUGUUUGAGGUAGCAAGACACUACCAUCUGGAUCUGCUCUGUACGCACUCAUUUCAUGACUGAACAUCCCAGGCGGCUCCGGCUCCUCCCCCCGCCCCCCCUCCCCCGCAGUCGCCGCCUACCGGAUCGCGUUGCUUCCGCCUCCAUUGUCUUUGCUGCAGGUCUCGCUCCAACUGCCGGCUCAGCUGGGCCUCUGAGCCCCGCGCCCCUCCGCCCCCGCCGCCGCUCCGGGCGGCCGCUCCAUGACUCUUUCUUUUAAUUAUUAUUUUUUUAGAGGGUCUCGCUAUGUUAUACAGGCUGGUCUCAAACUCCGAAGCGAUCUUUCCACCUUGGCCUCCCAAAGUGCUGGGAUUACAGGCGUGAGCCACCUCGCCUGGUCCAAGAAUCCUUUCUUUACUAAGAUUUUUCAUGAAGAUUUAGAGGGUCUUAGUAUUAUUUAGUAACAAAAA